rnacentral:rRNA from 1 species
UACAGAGGGUGCGAGCGUUGUCCGGAAUCACUGGGCGUAAAGGGCGCGUAGGUGGCUCGUUAAGCGUGUGGUGAAAGCCUGGGGCUCAACCCCAGGUCUGCCGUGCGAACUGGCGAGCUUGAGCAGAGUAGAGGCGGGUGGAAUUUCGGGUGUAGCGGUGGAAUGCGUAGAUAUCCGGAAGAACACCGGUGGCGAAGGCGGCCCGCUGGGCUGUUGCUGACACUGAUGCGCGACAGCGUGGGGAGCAAACAGG